rnacentral:miRNA from 1 species
AGGAGAAGUCGGGAAGGU